rnacentral:rRNA from 1 species
AGAGCGAACGCUGGCGGCAGGCCUAACACAUGCAAGUCGAGCGCGUGUAGCAAUACACGAGCGGCAGACGGGAGAGUAACACGUGGGAACGCGCCCUUCGGUUCGGAAUAACUCAGGGAAACUUGAGCUAAUACCGGAUACGCCCUUACGGGGAAAGAUUUAUUGCCGAAGGAACGGCCCGCGUCCGAUUAGCUAGUUGGUGAGGUAACGGCUCACCAAGGCGACGAUCGGUAGCUGGUCUGAGAGGAUGACCAGCCUCACUGGGACUGAGACACGGCCCAGACUCCUACGGGAGGCAGCAGUGGGGAAUAUUGGACAAUGGGCGCAAGCCUGAUCCAGUCAUGCCGCGUGGAUGAUGAAGGCCUUAGGGUUGUAAAGUCCUUUUAACGGGGAAGAUAAUGACGGUACCCGUAGAAUAAGCCCCGGCUAACUUCGCGCCAGCAGCCGC